AUAUUUAUUGCUAAAGCAAAGCUUUUGAUUUUUUUAACAUGUUCGAUACUACACCAUUCAGGGAAGGCUAAAUAUUAUAACAAACACCUCCAAAUCUCAGUGGCUUAAGGUAUGUAUUUUUCUUAUGUUACAGUUCAAUGUAAGUCACCCAGUUGGGAUUGGAGAGUACUCAGAGACCUGCUCAGAACCAGGGAUUGUCCUUAGGUUGGCGUCCCACUUUCCAAGACCUUGGAGAUUUCUGCUGGAUCCUCUGAUUUCAGCAGAGGGGUAAAAAUGAAAAGAGCAAGGACAAUCACACAUGUACUUUUGGAGUCAGGCCUGGAAGUGGCUUACAUCACUUCUUCUGUCUGCUUUCCAAUUGGCUGGAACUCAGUCACAUGACACUCCUAACUGCAAGGGAAGCUGGGAAAAUGUAGUUUUCUACAUUUAUAUACAGGAGGAAAACAAGGACUUGGGGACUACAGAGCCAGCACUGUCUUUGCCUCAUAUUUUACCAAGUUCCAACCAGCAAAGUUUUUCCAGUUUAUAUUUCUAUAAGAAAGGUAUAAGAAUUCCUAGUUCCCUACACUGUCAGUAAUUAAGAGCAUGACAUUUUUGUGUGUCUAUUGUCCACAGCUUUGCAUAUGACAUUGCUGCUUUUCUACUGAUAGACUCAGAGUACCUCUUUCUGUCUUUGUAGAUGAUCUCUCUGGAAGCUAGGACUGCAGCCCUGAUUACUUUUAGGACAGCUGCCCCAUCACUGUCUCCCAGGCUGGCCUAAGUUUCUGGACCUUUCUCUGUUCUAUCUUCUGUCCUGUAUCCAGUGUCUGCAAAAGGGGACACCCUUGCUGGGCCUUUACCCCAAGCCCCAGGCCCCAGCAUCAUCCCUGAAUGAAGGGUCACUCAGAGACCGCAGGAGCAGGUUAGAAUUCUGCAUUUUCUGAGCCAUCUCAGGUGAGUCCAUGCUGACACUAUAUUUUCACAAGGAAAAAAAUUCAGGAACUAGAACCGGGAGACAAAGAUAACAGCCUGGUGCCAACUUGGUGCAUUGACUUUAACCAAAUCAUUGGGUGCUGAUCCUUAGUCCUCAGUCCCCACCAGAAUAAUCCUUCCCCAGGGAACAGUAAAGUCACUGUCUCACAUCUGAGCUAUGGUUUCCUCCUAGGCUUCUUCUCCACAUCGUCCACAGGACAGCUGGCUGCUGCCUGAUGAUUCACUAGGAGGCCUGGCCCCUUGACAGAGCAAAUUCCAGUGAGGACUGCAAAUGGCUUCCAGUGUCUGUUUGCCCAAGGCCUCCUGGGAACUGAGGGCCUGGCAUGAGCACAGCGGGGAACUGCAAACCAGGCCUCAGCUCGAACACGACUCCACCUUGCACCAUCCUUCCGGGAGCGGAAGGGACCUUUGGGGACCCUCGGAGAGUUCGCUGCUGCGCUGUAGCCCAGACUGACUGAGCCCAGAUCAUCUUAGAAUAUCAGAUGAGUGGGAGAGAAGGACAUCGAGGUGGUGAUGGGAGGUAGGGACGGGAAUCGGGAUGUCAGGGACAGAAGCCCUGCAGAAGGACGGCAAGAGAAGAGCUGGGAAGAGGGAGGAGACUUCAAGAGCUGUUUAAAAGGAAAACCAGGCUUGGCAACAGCUUGCAUUUUAUCCUGUCUGCUGUCUCUCACUCAUCACUUCCCUGAGGAAAGUUCAAAUUCAAAACAAAACAGCCGUUUUUGCAAAGCCAGCCGUUUUGCUCCACGGACCUGGGAAAGAUUUGAUGUAAAACCAGUUCUCAGGAAGCUGCACAUGAUUCACAGAUCUUAAUGCUGCCGGAGGCACAGAGUGCAAAGGAGAGAGCGGGGAAGAGAGGAAUGUAGCUGUCUCACCUUGGAAAGGGGGUAAACUGAGGCAAGGCUCAGCCGGAAAGUGAGUGAUAGGAAUCAACAGGAGGCACCACCGCUGCCAUUUCAUCUGGUUCAGUGUUCAUCCAGUGACUCUCCUCUCCGAGCCUUCUGCAGACACAGACAGGCAUUCAGAAACCAGCCUGCUGGAGACAUUACAGACUCGGGCAGCAGAGUGGGGUGAUGGGACACAGGAAGGUCGACAUUCAGAGAUGGGGAAGGGGACCUGAUGAAGGAGGGAGAGGGAGGAGGGAGGGGGGAACAGGAACUAAAAAAGAUCAAGGUAUGAGAUACAUAUGUACUGAUGCCCUAAAAAGAACGCAAUUAUUACAUAUCACAAACAUAUUCUAAUAAAAGAAAAGAAC